UCUGGGUCGUGUGGCCACAUGCCGUUGCUCGUCCUACUGCCUAGGCUACGGUCAAGGCGGGAGUGCGGAUCGGUGUAGUGGCCGUCAACCUUUCAGUCGUGUCUGUGUAAACAGGUGUUAGCUAGGUCAAUAGACUUGUUCAAUUGGCCUGCUAGCAUGCUUCCGGAUGCCUUUAAUCGGGUGUCGGGGGCAGACGACACUUUUACUUUGAACAAAUUUGAGUGCUCAAAGCAGGCUUGUAUGCCUGAAAAUUCUUGCAUGGAAUAAUGGAAUAGGACUUCGGUUCUAUUUUGUUGGUUUUCGGAUCCGAAGAAUGG
rnacentral:rRNA from 1 species